rnacentral:rRNA from 1 species
AUUGAACGCUGGCGGCAGGCCUAACACAUGCAAGUCGAACGAGUGGCGGACGGGUGAGUAAUGUCUGGGAAACUGCCUGAUGGAGGGGGAUAACUACUGGAAACGGUAGCUACUACCGCAUACCAUCAGAUGUGCCCAUAGGGGAUUAGCGAGUUGGUGGGGUAACGGCUAACGAAGGCGACGAUCCAUAGCUGGUCUGAGAGGAUGACCAGACACACUGGAACUGAGACACGGUCCAGAUUACUACGGGAGGCAGCAGUGGGGAAUAUUGCACAAUGGGCGCAAGCCUGAUGCAGCCAGGCCGCGUGUAUGAAGAAGGCCGUCGGGUUGUAAAGUACUUUCAGCGGGGAGGCGUUACCCGCAGAAGAAGCACCGGCUAACUCCGUGCCAGCAGCCGCGGUAAUUC